UAGGGAAUUUUCGUCAAUGGGCGCAAGCCUGAACGAGCGAUGCCGCGUGAGUGAAGAAGGCCUUCGGGUCGUAAAGCUCUGUUGCGGGGGAAAAAAGGCAGCAUCAGGAAAUGGGUGCUGACUGAUGGUGCUCCGCCAGAAAGUCACGGCUAACUACGUGCCAGCAGCCGCGGUAAUACGUAGGUGGCGAGCGUUAUCCGGAAUGAUUGGGCGUAAAGGGUGCGCAGGCGGUCCUGCAAGUCUGGAGUGAAACGCAUGAGCUCAACUCAUGCAUGGCUUUGGAAACUGGAGGACUGGAGAGCAGGAGAGGGCGGUGGAACUCCAUGUGUAGCGGUAAAAUGCGUAGAUAUAUGGAAGAACACCAGUGGCGAAGGCGGCCGCCUGGCCUGUUGCUGACGCUGAGGCACGAAAGGCGUGGGGAGCAAAUAGGAUUAGAUACC
rnacentral:rRNA from 1 species